rnacentral:rRNA from 1 species
ACGGAAUAGAUACCCUGGUAGUCCACGCCCUAAACGAUGUCUACUAGUUGUCGGGUCUUAAUUGACUUGGUAAACGCAGCUAAACGCGUGAAGUAGACCGCCUGGGGAGUACGGUCGCAAGAUUAAAACUCAAAGGAAUUGACGGGGACCCGCACAAGCGGUGGAUGAUGUGGAUUAAUUCGAUGCAACGCGAAAAACCUUACCUACCCUUGACAUGGAUGGAAUCCCUGAGAGAUUGGGGAGUGCUCGAAAGAGAACCAUUACACAGGUGCUGCAUGGCUGUCGUCAGCUCGUGUCGUGAGAUGUUGGGUUAAGUCCCGCAACGAGCGCAACCCUUGUCAUUAGUUGCUACGAAAGGGCACUCUAAUGAGACUGCCGGUGACAAACCGGAGGAAGGUGGGGAUGACGUCAAGUCCUCAUGGCCCUUAUGGGUAGGGCUUCACACGUCAUACAAUGGUACAUACAGAGGGCCGCCAACCCGCGAGGGGUAGCUAAUCCCAGAAAGUGUAUCGUAGUCCGGGAUUGUAGUCUGCAACUCG